GUACAAUUUUAUAAAUGCCGACAGACAAUUUGUUUGUUUGACAUGGUGAGAUCCUUUUGUGUCUGUAAUAUAUUAUGUAAGAAAUGGCAGUGAAAAGGCUUUUAUGCGCAAAUAUUGAUACAAUAACCAUCAUAUCCAAGUAAACUUGGAGUCACGCAAUGAUAUGUUGUGUGGUCCUUCCACUACGACUCAGGAAACCAUAUAGUUUAUUAGGCUGCAGAUUAAAUUAAUUAUGAUGAACUUCACAGUGUUGAAAGUACACGCGAUGAGCUUGAUGCUCCUUUCCAAUAAAUAUUGAGGGUCUUAUUCCGGUGACAUGAUGAUCGAUACUUGGUUGCCAUAAUAAUGUAGGUAGCCUACCUGCACUUUAUCUGCCAACUGUUGGCUAGAGCACAAGUGCCAAAACCAGAGUGGGCACAUUUUCUUUAUAAAGCAAGUUUUUGUGACAAAACCAUCAGUAGAGUUGAGAAUGAGAUAGAAACCCAUUUAACUUGUAUUUUUCAUUCGGUCCAUGAUAAUUUAACCGCAAAAGUUAUUUUAAUGUGUACUACGUCAUAAUACACAGCCUUUUAUUCCCAGUACAUGGGUUUGAUGGAAACACAUUUCUGGUGUGAAAAUAUUUUUGUGCAUGUUUUAUAAUAUUCGCACGAAAAUCUGCUGCAAAUUGGAUGGAAACCUAGCUAAUAUCACAAAAUGGCAUGCAGAUUUUUUAUCAAGUCCGUUGGGUUUUCACUAGUUACCACACCCACAAAGUCAAUAUUGGCCAAAACGUAGAAAUUCAUGAAGACAAACCUUUGCUUUUUGGUCUUAAUUUAAGAUUAGGUAUAAAGUUAGCAGUGUCGUUAGGUUAGGCUUAGGUAUAAAAUCAGAUUUUAAGAAGUGAAAUGGAAUAGGCGGGAUCACCGACAACGAUGAGACAGCCAAUAGGGAGGAGGUCAGAGACCUGGUCGUGUGGUGCCAGGAUAACAACCUCUCCCUCAACGUGAUCAAGACAAAGGAGAUGAUUGUGGACAACAGGAAAAAGAGGACCCCAAGCAUGCCCCUAUUCUCAACGACGGGGCUGUAGUGGAGCAGGUUGAGAGCUUCAAGUUCCUUGAUGUCCUCAUCCCCAAAAAACUAUCAUGGUACAAACACACCAAGACAGUCGUGAAGAAGGCAUGACAAAACCUAUUCCCCCUCAGGAGACUGAAAAGAUUUGGCAUGGGUCUUCAGAUCCUCAAAAAGUUAUAUGCACCAUUGAGAGCAUCCUGACUUGUUGCAUCACUGCCUGGUAUGGCAACUACUCGACCGAAAGGCACUACAGAGGGUAGUACAUCACUGGGGCCAAGCUUCCUACCAUCCAAGACCUCUAUACCAGGCCGUGUCAGAGGAAGACCCAAAAAAUUGUCAAAGACUCCAGCCACCCUAGUCAUAGACUGUUCUCUCUGCUACCACACGGCAAGCGGUAACGGAGCGCCAAGUCUAGUUCCAAAAGGCUUCUUAACAGCUUCUACCUCCAAGCCAUAAGACUCCUGAACAGUUCGGCCUGGGAGCAGUUCUUCUGUGACAACAUGAUGAUGACACCUGGCAACCCGUCACUUAUGCAUCUAGAGCCUUAACAGGCGCAGAAACAAGGUACGCACAAAUAGUGAAAGAACUACUGGUGAACACAUACACAUGCGAAAGGUUUCACCAAUAUGUCUACUGACAAGCCUUCGAAGUAGAAACCGACCACAAACCAUUGGUGUCAAUCAUGUCCAAGCCACUGAAUGAUUGUCCAAUGAGAAUCCAGAAAAUUAUGAUCAGACAACAAAAGUAUGUUCACCGCCAACACUCUUUCUCGAGCAGUUGACAAGAAAGAGAGCGCUGACACACAGAAAAACUGAGACUUAGGCCUACGUCGACAUGAUCGUAGCAUCACUUCCUGUGUCUGCAGAGAGAAUGGAGCAGAUGAAAAGAGAGACUGCAGCUGACCAAACAAUGACUAGUUGAAAGAAACAAUACUGAAAGGGUGGCCUGCACAGGUAAAACAACUGUUCAAGUAGAGGAUUAGUAGAUGUGCAGAGCAGAGUUCAGUGUUGUGGAUGACAUCAUGCUCAAAGGCAACAAGUUUGUCAUUCCCAUGACACUAUGCAAAGAAAUCCUACAGAAAAUACAGAAGGGCCACUUUGGUGAGGAAAAAUGCAAACGAUGAGCAC
rnacentral:lncRNA from 1 species